rnacentral:rRNA from 1 species
AUUGAACGCUGGCGGCAGGCUUAACACAUGCAAGUCGAGCGGGGUGAUGGUGCUUGCACUAUCACUUAGCGGCGGACGGGUGAGUAAUGCUUAGGAAUCUGCCUAUUAGUGGGGGACAACGUUUCGAAAGGAACGCUAAUACCGCAUACGUCCUACGGGAGAAAGCGGGGGCUCUUCGGACCUCGCGCUAACAGAUGAGCCUAGGUCGGAUUAGCUAGUUGGUGGGGUAAUGGCUCACCAAGGCGACGAUCCGUAACUGGUCUGAGAGGAUGAUCAGUCACACUGGAACUGAGACACGGUCCAGACUCCUACGGGAGGCAGCAGUGGGGAAUAUUGGACAAUGGGCGAAAGCCUGAUCCAGCCAUGCCGCGUGUGAAGAAGGUCUUCGGAUUGUAAAGCAGUUUCGACCGGGACGAAAAAGCGGGUGCUAAUCAGCCUGCCUUGACGGUACCGGGAGAAGAAGCACCGGCUAACUCUGUGCCAGCAGCCGCAGUAA